rnacentral:rRNA from 1 species
GUUGAACGCUGGCGGCGUGCCUAACACAUGCAAGUCGAGCGAACAGACGAGGAGCUUGCUCCGCUGACGUUAGCGGCGGACGGGUGAGGAACACGUGGAUGACCUACCGAUAAGGCUGGCAUAACUUCGGGAAACCGGAUCCAAUACAGGAUAAGAUAGUGAACCGCAGGGUUCAAUGGAGAAAGAGGGUUUUGCUGUGACUAAUAGAGGGAUGCGCGCCGCAUUAGCUAGUUGGUAAGGUAACGGCCUACCAAGGCGACGAUGCGUAGCCGACCUGAGAGGGUGAUCGGCCACACUGGAACUGAGACACGGUCCAGACUCCUACGGGAGGCAGCAGUGGGGAAUCUUGCGCAAUGGGCGAAAGCCUGACGGAGCAACGCCGCGUGAGUGAUGAAGGUCUUCGGAUCGUAAAACCCUGUUAUUUGGGAAGAACAAAUGUGUAAGUAACUAUUCACGUCUUGACGGUACCUACACAGAAAGCCCCGGCUAACUACGUG